AAAGACACAGAGAAGCCCUUAGAAGUGGACUCCAUUUCAUUGUCAAAACUACAAAACCUUUGACACAUUUUAAAAGAUUAGGUAGAGGACAUACAGUUGCUUACGGCCAUACCUCUCUGGCUCUGCCUGAUCUCGUCAGAUCUCAGAAGCUAAGCAGAGUAGGGCCUGGUUAGUACUUGGAUGGAAGACCGCCUGGGAAUCCCAGGUGCCGUAAGCUUUUUCAAUUCUAUUUGUAAAAGACACAGAGAAGGCCUUAGAAAGUGACUCCAUUUAAUUGUCAAAACUACAAAACCUUUGACACAUUUUAAAAGAUUAGGUAGAGGACAUACAGUUGCUUACGGCCAUACCUCUCUGGCUCCGCCUGAUCUCGUCUGAUCUCAGAAGCUAAGCAGAGUAGGGCCUGGUUAGUACUUGGAUGGAAGACCGCCUGGGAAUCCCAGGUGCCGUAAGCUUUUUCAUUUCUCUCUCUGGAAGAAAUUGAGAAGGCAUUAGAAAGUGAAUCCUUUUUCAUUAUCAAAACUCCAAAACCUUUGACACAUUUUAAAAUAUUAGGAAGAGGACAUACAGUUGCUUACGGCCAUACCUCUCUGGCUCCGCCUGAUCUCGUCUGAUCUCAGAAGCUAAGCAGAGUAGGGCCUGGUUAGUACUUGGAUGGAAGACCGCCUGGGAAUCCCAGGUGCCGUAAGCUUUUUCAUUUCUCUCUCUGGAAGAAAUUGAGAAGGCAUUAGAAAGUGAAUCCUUUUUCAUUAUCAAAACUCCAAAACCUUUGACACAUAUUAAAAGAUUAGGUAGAGGACAUACAGUUGCUUACGGCCAUACCUCUCUGGCUCCGCCUGAUCUCGUCUGAUCUCAGAAGCUAAGCAGAGUAGGGCCUGGUUAGUACUUGGAUGGAAGACCGCCUGGGAAUCCCAGGUGCCGUAAGCCUUUUCAUUUCUCUUUCGGGAAGAAAUCGAGAAGGCAUUAGAAAGUGAAUCCUUUUUCAUUAUCAAAACUCCAAAACCUUUGACACAUUUUAAAAGAUUAGGAAGAGGACAUACAGUUGCUUACGGCCAUACCUCUC
ensembl:lncRNA